GGGGGCGACAUGGUAUCGACGCCGAUAACAACCCCUGCGGUGCAUGCCGAGAGCGUGAUGUAUCUCGUAAAUCCAACAUCACGAAAAAUAGUCGCAAACGACGAAAACUACGCUCAGGGCGCGCUGGCAGCUUAAUAGCUGUUAGCUUCUUGUCCGGCUCCAAAGUGAUGUGCCUGUCCAUGACGGCGGAGAUACGAGCCAAAAAUGAUAGGACCGCAGUUGGUGGCGUCUUCUCGCCAACUGUUAAACUUAAAGAAGACUCGCGUAGCUGAAUCCUGAUCGUCGGAGUCAGUCGCGCUAAACUAAAAGACGAAAUCUAAGCAUGUAGAGCCAAUGGGCGAGUGUUGGCGGACGCGGGUUCAAUUCCCGCCGCCUCCACCA
rnacentral:tmRNA from 1 species